rnacentral:lncRNA from 1 species
AUUUUGUCUGCUUCUGUGCUCAUAUCAGUAUUGGAAAAAGCACGAGGGAUUGGUGUUUUACAAAAUAAGUUAUAAAUACUGGAAUACUUCUAAAUCAAGUUUAUUGGAACAGCAAGUUCUAAAAGUAUGAGUGCCGAUUCUUUUGAUACGUCUCUAAUGCCACUGGCAACAGACAACGGCACAUUCCCGACGGAAUUGCCACCAGGACAUAGUCCUCUGAAGUCACCAGCAUACUUAAAGGCUAUUACGAUAUCUAUGUAUUCUAUUAUAAUUAUUCUUGCUGUUGGUGGAAAUAGUAUCGUCUGCUACAUUGUAUUCCGAGCGC